GAGUUUGAUCCUGGCUCAGGACGAACGCUGGCUGCGUGCUUAACACAUGCAAGUCGAACGAGUGGCGAACGGGUGAGUAACACGUGAGUAACCUGCCCCUGACUUCGGGAUAAGCCCGGGAAACUGGGUCUAAUACCGGAUACGGAAAGUCGGUUGGGGAUGGGCUCGCGGCCUAUCAGUUUGUUGGUGAGGUAAUGGCUCACCAAGACGACGACGGGUAGCCGGCCUGAGAGGGCGACCGGCCACACUGGGACUGAGACACGGCCCAGACUCCUACGGGAGGCAGCAGUGGGGAAUAUUGCACAAUGGGGGAAACCCUGAUGCAGCGACGCAGCGUGCGGGAUGACGGCCUUCGGGUUGUAAACCGCUUUCAGCAGGGAAGAUGACGGUACCUGCAGAAGAAGUACCGGCUAACUACGUGCCAGCAGCCGCGGUAAUACGUAGGGUACGAGCGUUGUCCGGAAUUAUUGGGCGUAAAGAGCUCGUAGGUGGUUGGUCACGUCUGCUGUGGAAACGCAACGCUUAACGUUGCGCGUGCAGUGGGUACGGGCUGACUAGAGUGCAGUAGGGGAGUCUGGAAUUCCUGGUGUAGCGGUGAAAUGCGCAGAUAUCAGGAGGAACACCGGUGGCGAAGGCGGGACUCUGGGCUGACUGACACUGAGGAGCGAAAGCAUGGGGAGCGAACAGGAUUAGAUACCCUGGUAGUCCAUGCCGUAAACGUUGGGCACUAGGUGUGGGGGUCUCCGCGCCGUAGCUAACGCAUUAAGUGCCCCGCCUGGGGAGUACGGUCGCAAGGCUAAAACUCAAAGGAAUUGACGGGGGCCCGCACAAGCGGCGGAGCAUGCGGAUUAAUUCGAUGCAACGCGAAGAACCUUACCAAGGCUUGACAUAUACAGGUGGUGCAUGUUGUCGUCAGCUCGUGUCGUGAGAUGUUGGGUUAAGUCCCGCAACGAGCGCAACCCUCGUUCUAUGUUGCCAGCACGUGGGAACUCAUAGGAGACUGCCGGGGUCAACUCGGAGGAAGGUGGGGAUGACGUCAAAUCAUCAUGCCCUUUAUGUCUUGGGCUUCACGCAUGCUACAAUGGCUGGCAAAGAGAAGCGAACCCGUGAGGGUCAGCGAAUCCCUUCCAGUCUCAGUUCGGACGUAGUCUGCAAUUCGACUACGGAAGUCGGAGUCGCUAGUAAUCGCAGAUCAGCAACGCUGCGGUGAAUACGUUCCCGGGCCUUGUACACACCGCCCGUCAAGUCACGAAAGUCGGUAACACCCGAAGCCGGUGCCUAGGGGGCCGUCUAAGGUGGGACUGGUGAUUGGGACUAAGUCGUAACAAGGUAGCCGUACCG
rnacentral:rRNA from 2 species